UCCACUUUGAAUGGACAUCCCAUCAACUAAGGACGGUUCUAUGGCGCUACCCAUGGUGCCGAUUGUCUUAUAUCGAACAGUAAGUUCAGCAGCAACAUUAAAAUGAAAAAAAAUAAAAGAAGACCAAAGGUCUUUCAAUCAGGCCGCUACAUAGCAACACGGACUUCGCCGGACUCCCUACAAAAACGCCCCGCGGAGGGGAAACGUGGCAAAAAUGACGCUCGAAAUAAAUAUACCCACCCAUUUCACCAGACCUCCCACGCCCCUCUCAUCCACAACUAACCAGAGCAAAAAACUGGCGACACUAACGAAGCCAGGGGUCUACACUAACUGGACCUUCAGCCAUAGAGCGUUGUUAAGAUUUACGCGGCAAAAAUGAAUUGACUCGCAUCGCUUAAGGCAGAAGAAGUUAGUGGAGUAUCAACAUACAUAGCCGAAAUGACAAAUGAGCUGUAUACCCUACUGAUGGCGAUUUGACAGAGAUCUUCAAACCAAGGCAGUGAUUAAAUAAUUUACACACUAUUGCUAGUAUCAACAUACACAGUCCAAAUGACAAAUGAACUGUGGCCUACUGCCGGCGACUUGACAGAGAUCUUCAAACCAGAGUAGUGAUUAAAUAAUUAACACACUAUUGCUAGUAUCAACAUACACAGUCCAAAUGACAAAUGAACUGUGGCCUACUGCCGGCGACUUGACAGAGAUCUUCAAA